UUGAGAGCGGCGGACGGGUGAGUAAUGCCUAGGAAUCUGCCUGGUAGUGGGGGAUAACGCUCGGAAACGGACGCUAAUACCGCAUACGUCCUACGGGAGAAAGCAGGGGACCUUCGGGCCUUGCGCUAUCAGAUGAGCCUAGGUCGGAUUAGCUAGUUGGUGAGGUAAUGGCUCACCAAGGCGACGAUCCGUAACUGGUCUGAGAGGAUGAUCAGUCACACUGGAACUGAGACACGGUCCAGACUCCUACGGGAGGCAGCAGUGGGGAAUAUUGGACAAUGGGCGAAAGCCUGAUCCAGCCAUGCCGCGUGUGUGAAGAAGGUCUUCGGAUUGUAAAGCACUUUAAGUUGGGAGGAAGGGCAGUAAAUUAAUACUUUGCUGUUUUGACGUUACCGACAGAAUAAGCACCGGCUAACUCUGUGCCAGCAGCCGCGGUAAUACAGAGGGUGCAAGCGUUAAUCGGAAUUACUGGGCGUAAAGCGCGCGUAGGUGGUUUGUUAAG
rnacentral:rRNA from 1 species